rnacentral:rRNA from 1 species
GAUUUCUGAUGUGACAGGCUUGGCCCACCGUGGUUACACGCGUGAGUGCCGGGUCUUGUCCGUCUGUCUUCCUGUUGAUCGCCGCCCUCUUCACUGAGUGGUGGUUGUAUUGUACAGGAUCUUUUACUUUGAACAAAUUAGAGUGUUUCAAGCAGGCGUUAUGCCAUGAAUACAUUAGCAUGGAAUAAUCCUAUAGGACUUCGGUUCUAUUGUGUUGGUUUCGAGAGCUGAAGUAAUGAUUGAUAGGGAUAGUUGGGGGUGCUAGUAUUCAGAGGCCAGAGGUGAAAUUCUUGGAUUCUCUGAAGACUAACUUAUGCGAAAGCAUU